ACAGGGAUUGCCCUAGUAACGGCGAGUGAAGCGGCAACAGCUCAAAUUUGAAAUCUGGCUCUUUCAGAGUCCGAGUUGUAAUUUGCAGAGGGCGCUUUGGCUUUGGCAGCGGUCCAAGUUCCUUGGAACAGGACGUCACAGAGGGUGAGAAUCCCGUACGUGGUCGCUAGCUAUUGCCGUGUAAAGCCCCUUCGACGAGUCGAGUUGUUUGGGAAUGCAGCUCUAAAUGGGAGGUAAAUUUCUUCUAAAGCUAAAUAUUGGCCAGAGACCGAUAGCGCACAAGUAGAGUGAUCGAAAGAUGAAAAGCACUUUGGAAAGAGAGUCAAACAGCACGUGAAAUUGUUGAAAGGGAAGCGCUUGCAGCCAGACUUGCUUGCAGUUGCUCAUCUGGGCUUUUGCCCGGUGCACUCUUCUGUAGGCAGGCCAGCAUCAGUUUGGGCGGUGGGAUAAAGGUCUCUGUCAUGUACCUCUCUUCGGGGAGGCCUUAUAGGGGAGGCGACAUACCACCAGCCUGGACUGAGGUCCGCGCAUCUGCUAGGAUGCUGGCGUAAUGGCUGUAAGCGGCCCGUCUUGAAACACGGACCAAGGAGUCUAACAUCUAUGCGAGUGUUUGGGUGUCAAGCCCGAGCGCGUAAUGAAAGUGAACGGAGGUGGGAACCCGCAAGGGCGCACCAUCGACCGAUCCUGAAGUUUACGGAAGGAUUUGAGUAAGAGCAUGGCUGUUGGGACCCGAAAGAUGGUGAACUAUGCUUGAAUAGGGUGAAGCCAGAGGAAACUCUGGUGGAGGCUCGCAGCGGUUCUGACGUGCAAAUCGAUCGUCAAAUUUGGGCAUAGGGGCGAAAGACUAAUCGAAC
rnacentral:rRNA from 1 species